UUCCAGCUCCAAUAGCGUAUAUUAAAGUUGUUGCAGUUAAAAAGCUCGUAGUUGAAUUUCGGGGUUAGUAGGUUGGUCAUGCCUCUGGUAUGUACUGAUCUCACUGAUUCCUCCUUCCUUAUGAACCGUAAUGCCAUUAAUUUGGUGUUGCGGGGAAUUUGGACUGUUACUUUGAAAAAAUUAGAGUGUUUAAAGCAAGCUAACGCUUGAAUACAUUAGCAUGGAAUAAUGAAAUAGGACGUUCGAUCUUAUUUUGUUGGUUUCUAGGAUUGACGUAAUGAUUAAUAGGGAUAGUUGGGGGCAUUAGUAUUCAAUUGUCAGAGGUGAAAUUCUUGGAUUUAUUGAAGACUAACUACUGCGAAAGCAUUUGCCAAGGAUGUUUUCAUUAAUCAAGAACGAAAGUUAGGGGAUCGAAGACGAUCAGAUACCGUCGUAGUCUUAACCAUAAACUAUGCCGACUAGGGAUCGG
rnacentral:rRNA from 1 species